GUGCCCGUGGCGCAACGGUAGCGCAAGGGACUUUUAAUCCCUGGGUUGUGGGUUCGAAUCCCACCGGGCACACCA
rnacentral:tRNA from 3 species